rnacentral:rRNA from 1 species
CGGUUGAUCCUGCCGGACCCUACUGCUAUCGGGGUAGGACUAAAACAUGCAAGUCGAGCGUCUCCCAACAUGUUGUGGAGACGCGGCGAACGGCUCAGUAACACGUGGCCAACCUACCCUUAGGACUGGGAAUUACCCCAGGAAACUGGGGUUAAUUCCCGAUAGGCGAGGAGGCCUGGAAUGGCUCCUCGCCGAAAAGACGUUAGAGGCAUGCUCUCUAACGUCGCCUAAGGAUGGGGCCGCGGCCGAUCAGGGCUGUUGGUGAGGUAACGGCUCACCAAGCCUAUAACCGGUACGGGCCGUGAGAGCGGGAGCCCGGAGAUGGGCACUGAGAUAAGGGCCCAGGCCCUACGGGGCGCAGCAGUUGCGAAAACUCGCCAAUGCACGAAAGUGUGAGCGGGCUACCCCGAGUGCCGUCCGCUGAGGACGGCUUUUCUCUGCUGUAAGGAAGCAGAGGAAUAAGGAGAGGGCAAGACUGGUGUCAGCCGCCGCGGUAAUACCAGCUCUCCGAGUGGUAGGGGUGAUUAUUGGGCUUAAAGCGUCCGUAGCCGGCCUAACAAGUCCUCCGUUAAAUCCAGCAACCUAAUUGCUGGGCUGCGGAGGAUACUGUUAGGCUAGGGGGCGGGAGAGGCCGACGGUAUUCUCGGGGUAGGGGUGAAAUCCUAUAAUCCCGAGAGGACCACCAGUGGCGAAGGCUGUCGGCUUGCCCGCGCCCGACGGUGAGGGACGAAAGCUGGGGGAGCGAACCGGAUUAGAUACCCGGGUAGUCCCAGCUGUAAACGAUGCGGGCUAGGUGUUGGGGCGGCUACGAGCCGCUCCAGUGCCGCAGCGAAAGCGUUAAGCCCGCCGCCUGGGAAGUACGGCCGCAAGGCUGAAACUUAAAGGAAUUGGCGGGGGAGCAC